GCGGAUCUUCAACUAUACAAAAUUCUACGUAAAUAACAACCUAUUUCAUUUAUUAGAUAUUACUACAACAAGUAUCCCAUUCUGGAUAUUUUAUAUAAUUUUCCACGUAUCGUAUACGUUCUAUGCAUCUUUGUAACUUCAAAUUUAAUACGUAGGAAACCUAAGCUGUUUAUUCGUUAGCUGUACCGCUUUGCCUGUAAACCUGUAAAUUGUCCGUCAGCCUGGACGAGCUUUUACGCGCGAACGUGAUCCGUGGACGCGCGACAGGCGCGGAAUUCAGAUCGUAUGUUAAUGAGGGCGAAACGACGGCCGCGUAAUGUGUCGGCGGCGAAAAAGCGUACGUAAUGCCGGUGUGUAGCGGCAGCGACCACCGACGUGGCGCAAUAAUGACGCGCAUCUCUCGAUUUUAUUAUUUUAAUGUCGGUCCCGAGCGCCGCGGCCCACGCGACUCGCAUACGCAUUCGCCGAUCCUCGCAUGGGAAUCGUUUCAUUCAACGCAGUCCACUUGUCCCGUUUUCUUUCCCGCCUUUGCUACGUCCACGAUUUUACGACCCAAAAUUGAUCGUUCCGAGGGUACCUUAUCGGGCCAUCUGAAAUUUCGCCUGCGAAUCGCCGGACAUUCGAUGGCUGCAACUUUGUACAAGUGCGAUUUCCGAAGAUAUUCGAUGACUGGUUUCGCAAACGUGCCGGUGCGCAGAAAGUUUGAAAUGCGAGCGAGUGUGAGGCAAUAUAUAUUGGCGAAAGAAUAGUACCGAUAGGAUCGAUCGAUAAGAAUGGAAAUAUCAGGGUGUAGCUGACAACGAGUGACCUCAUUCGUACGCUAUAUUUUAGCAAAAGUGGAAACACUUAAGUGUAACUGAGCGUUAGUGUGAGUAAGGGUCGUGAAUGAGAAUGUAUUGGGAAGUUAGGAUCCAUUGGUAACAGAGAAAGUAUUUCAGAUAUUUGACGAUAAAUGCAUUCAUUAGUACGAUAUGGAUUAAUAAAAGUGGAAAUACUUAGGUGUAACUGAUCGUAAGUGUGGGCGAGACAAUGUAUUAGACAAUACGGUAUAUUUUAGUGAAAAUGGAAGUACUUAAGUGUAACUGAGUGUGAGUAUAAGUGAGGCAAUAAACUGGCGAAAGAAUUGGUAAUAAAAGUGGAGACACUUAAGUGUAACUGAGUGUGAGUAUUAGUGAGGCAAUACACUGGCGAAGGAAUUGGUAAGAUCGAGUGGUCGAUUAACAAUAAAUAAAUAUAGUUGAGUGUGAAUGUCAAUGAAUGAACUCGUUUGUACGGUAUACUUUUGCAAAAGUGGAAACACUUAAGUGUAACUGAGCGUUAGCGUGAGUAAGGGUCGUGAAUGAGAAUGUAUUGGGAAGUUAGGAUCCAUUGGUAACAGAGAAAGUAUUUCAGAUAUUUGACGAUGAAUGCAUUCAUUGGUACGAUAUGGAUUAAUAAAAGUGGAAUUACUUAGGUGUAACUGAUCGUAAGUGUGGGCGAGACAAUGUAUUAGACAAUACGGUAUAUUUUAGUGAAAAUGGAAGUACUUAAGUGUAACUGAGUGUGAGUAUAAGUGAGGCAAUAAACUGGCGAAAGAAUUGGUAAUAAAAGUGGAGACACUUAAGUGUAACUGAGUGUGAGUAUUAGUGAGGCAAUACACUGGCGAAAGAAUUGGUAAGAUCGAGUGGUCGAUUAACAAUAGAUAAAUAUAGUUGAGUGUGAAUGUCAAUGAAUGAACUCGUUUGUACGGUAUACUUUUGCAAAAGUGGAAACACUUAAGUGUAACUGAGCGUUAGCGUGAGUAAGGGUCGUGAAUGAGAAUGUAUUGGGAAGUUAGAAUCCAUUGGUAACAGAGAAAGUAUUUGAGUCAUUUGACGAUGAAUGCAUUCAUUGGUAUGAUAUGGAUUAAUAAAAGUGGAAAUACUUAGGUGUAACUAAGUAUGAGUAUAAGUGAGUCAAUACACUGGCGAAAGAAUUGGUAAGAUCGAGUGAUCGAUUAACAAUAAAUAAAUAUAGUUGAACAAUAAAUAUAGUUGAGUGUGAAUGUCAAUGAAUGAACUCGUUUGUACGGUAUACUUUUGCAAAAGUGGAAACACUUAAGUGUAACUGAGCGUUAGCGUGAGUAAGGGUCGUGAAUGAGAAUGUAUUGGGAAGUUAGGAUCCAUUGGUAACAGAGAAAGUAAUUCAGAUAUUUGACGAUGAAUGCAUUCAUUAGUACGAUAUGGAUUAAUAAAAGUGGAAAUACUUAGGUGUAACUGAGUAUGAGUAUAAGUGAGGCAAUACACGCGAAAGAAUUGGUAAUAAAAGUGGAAACACUUAAGUGUAACUGAGUGUGAGUAUAAAUGAGGCAAUACAUUGGCGAAAGAAUUGGUAAUAAAAAUGGAAAUACUUAAGUGUAACUGAGCGUGAGUAUAAGUGAGGCAAUACACUGGCGAAAGAAUUUGUAAGAUCAAGUGGUAGCAAAAAAUAUAGUUGAGUGUGAAUAUGAAUAAGUCAAUUCAUUCGUACGAUAUGUUUUAGUAAAAAUGGAAAUACUUAAGUGUAACUGAGUUUGAGUAUAAGCAAGGCAAUACAUUGGCGAAAGAAUUGGUAAUAAAAAUAGAAAUAUUUAAGUGUAGCUGAGUGUGAGUAUAAGCAAGACAAUACACUGGUGAAAGAAAUGGCCAGAUCGAGUGGCAACAAUAAAUAUAGUUGAGUGUGAAUGUCAAUAAGUGAACAUUUGUACGGUAUAUUUUAGUAAAAAUGGAAAUACUUAAAUCCAAUUGAUUAUGUGCGCGAGUGAAUCCAAUAAUGAAGUUGCUUUUAAUACGAGUCAUCUAAAUUGUACAAGUAUAUUAUAUCAAUUUUUGAUGUCUAUGAACAUUGAUAGAUAUUCAUUAAUAAAUUAAGUCUUUUUGGUGCAUGUUGAAAAAGUUAAUAUUUAAAGACUUGAGGAUAUAUAGUAAUGGAAAUAACAUUGUCUUAGUAUACUAUUUCAAUCUAUUUCAACUUCUACAAUGUAUUUUAUACUAUUCUUAGUUUCUAUAUUUUUCAAUUUUAUAAAAAAUGAGCUGAAAACUGUAUCAUGGGCAAUACGUUUGCACUUAAUCAAAUAUCAAUUAUCAAUAAUUAACCACACCUUCUUACGAUUCAUUAAUAUGUUAUAAACAAUCUAUUUCAACUUCUACAAUGCAUUUCAUACGACUCUUAAUUUCUAUAUUCUUCAAUUUCAUAAAAAAUCAGCUGAAAACUGUAUCAUGGGCAAUACGUUUGCACUUAAUCAAAUAUCAACUAUCAGUAAUUAACCACACCUUCUUACGAUUCAUUAAUAUGUUAUAAACAAUCUAUUUCAACUUCUACAAUGCAUUUUAUACGACUCUUAAUUUCUAUAUUCUUCAAUUUCAUAAAAAAUCAGCUGAAAACUGUAUCAUGGGCAAUACGUUUGCACUUAAUCAAAUAUCAACUAUCAGUAAUUAACCACACCUUCUUACGAUUCAUUAAUAUGUUAUAAACAAUCUAUUUCAACUUCUACAAUGCAUUUUAUACGACUCUUAAUUUCUAUAUUCUUCAAUUUCAUAAAAAAUCAGCUGAAAACUGUAUCAUGGGCAAUACGUUUGCACUUAAUCAAAUAUCAAUUAUCAGUAAUUAACCAAACCUUCUCACGAUUCAUUAUCACGUUACAAACGUCCAUAUCAAUAACAAUUCCAUAAAAUCGUUCUUCAAAGAACAACGUCUACCAACACUGCUCAACUUCCAUAUCGUCAAACUUACCCCAAACCAAAACCUAACCCCGAUCAUUGCUUCCACUCCUAACUCAAUCCAUCGAUAAAAAGCCGAGGCUGGAGCCCUAAGUGCUUCACGAAUACGCUCCACGCCCGCUUGCCUCGCACUUCCGGUUCUACAGAUCCUGGCGCAGAUACCGCACGUAUUUCCUCCUACCCUCCACUCGCGCUUCCAUCGGCCCCCCCAGGAAGUCGCCGUUGGUGAAUCCACCGUUUGGAAAUCAGCAUUCUCCAUCGACUUUUCACGCGCUGAAAAAAUUCUCCAUUUUGAUCGCGACGAUGCAACACGUACGCACGCGCCCGCGCUGUGUAUCUGCACACAGAGACAGGCGCAACAAAGAAGCAAAGCACGGCCAAUUAAAUAUUCAUUACCGCGGCUAGGUCGCCGGCUCCGGCCAGCGGAAUAUCUGCUCCGCGCCGCGGACAUCAAAGCGGAAUGGACGAGUGCGGCUGUCCAGGACCUACCGGACUCGCUACGUGCGCGCAACCGGUCGUCAUCGGCCGCGGAAUUCCAAGUGACCACUUGUUAUUCCGGACAUCGAUCCUAUGAAACGAAUCUUAGGCAUCCGCAGCCUUCCCCUACAUCGUAGCCGCCGCGGCCUCGGUAAUUCCGUCGCUACGAGAUGGUAUUUUGAUAGCAAUUUCGUCGACCCGGCGACGUCUCACGCUACCAGCCGAUAGACAGGAAUUUUUAGCUGACCUCCUUCCCCUACCACUGGGCCACCGACGCUUUUCUUCGCUGCGAUACGAUGGAUCCUUUGCUUCGGCAUUUUCUCAGACACGCGCCAGACGUCUGCGAUCUUCUGGCGAAUUUACAGCAGCCAUUGAUAUCGAGCGAUUUCUGUUUGAUUUUGGAGUGCGCUGUCCCGUGUCUACUUUCAGGGAAUUACGAGCUGAAGACGAAUUGUUUUCUCAUUUUUCUCUUCCUUUUCUUUCUUCAUUUUGUCUUCCUCGUUUUAUACGCAACGCUCUAAUGCAGUUUCGUGGAUGGCGGAGUGUUACAUUCAAGCGAGAGCAAUGGGAUUUAUUUCUGGGGUUGCAGUUUGCUUGAAGAAGGUGUUUGGUUCCAAGGGAAACAUUGUACGGUGCAAAUUAUUUCUUCCCAGGGCCGCUGUAUUCUUCAUGUUUUUAUAUCUUUUACGUCUUUCUCAGUGGAAGUGUGCAUUCCUUAACGCCAACCUUACAGGACCUUCAAAUGACCGGUUUCAAAAUUCAUUUGGAAUUGCGCAUUGUCGUUUCUUUUGCUCGUCUAACUUUAUGUAAAUUCUUCUAUUAUCUGGUUAAUCAAUUGUUCAAUUUUUGCAUAUAAGAAUUGACAUAAAGUAGAUGAAGAAAAGAAGCAACGACGACUCUAGAACUUCAAAUUAAAUUUUCAAACCUGCCAUUCGACUGGACCUGGUAAGAUUAGUGUUAAUACUUUAAUCGCUCCAUGUCGCCACUGCUCUUUGAAAAACUUCACCAUCUUCUGUUGAGGUUGACUGAUACAGCAACGAGUGGAUGAAAUUGUAAUAGAAAAAUACAUUGAAAUAAGUAUAGGUAUAAGUACAGGUAUAGUUUAUGCUGAUCCAGAUCCUCACUCUUACAUGUUACAAUACAGUAGAAGGUAAUAGGUCAUAUAUUUAUAGCAAAGGAGCUUCCUGUUGAGGUUAACUGAUAGAGCAACGAGUGGAUGAAUUUGUAAGAGCAAAAUAUAUUGAAAUAAGUAUAGGUAUAAUUUAUGUUGAUCGAGAUCCUCACUCUUACAGUGUUACAAUACAAUAGGAAGCUGAUAGGGAGCACGUUCAUAUAUUUAUAGCAAAGGACAUUACCAAAAAGCUAACCUUGGUGUGUAGCUCUAGCUGAAGGCUACAAGAAACAGCAACAGAAAUCUACUUAUAUCUCUUUUGUUUCUAGAGCUUGUAACCCAAAAACAAAAUUUAUAUUCAAGGGCACAGUAAUAUGGACCUCUCGUUAUUUUGAAUUUUCUUCACUAAAUUCUAUUCUCUUCGCAACAGCGGUCUCCAGGUCAUGGAUAUACAAAAGUUAUUCUCGAAGUAAUUACUUCAACAUUUCCUAUGGAUUAGAAUGUAGUUUUAGUAAUUAGAAUAUAUUUUUUACUUAUCAUGGUGCGUCUUCAUACGUUCAACUAUCAACUCGAAUAUUCUUUUCUUCUGUCUUCCUAACUCGAAUAAAGAAUUUAACAAAUCAAAAUGUUCUUCCCUUUUCAUACAUUAAAACAUUGCUCAGGCUCACGAUUCGUGCUCGUUAAGCUUCAGCAUCCUCAACUUCGCACACUUGUCUUCUUUUUCUUCAAUAUAAUAACAAUUUCGUAUAAUAUUUUUACACAUCACCUUACAUUCUGCAUAUAUUUUCAUCUAUCUCAUAAAUUUCAGUUUACUUAUUUUUAAUUACUUGGUUGGCAACUAAGUGAUUGCGGAUUUUGUCAAUACCACCUAACGACAAAAUCCGCAAUAACUUAGUUGCCAACGCAAUCAGCUGUGGUUAACCGAAGCCGCCAUUUUCCAAGCGAAAACGCACUCGAACCUCGAAACCCUUCUGCCCAGACGAAAGCCAACCAACCACCCUCGGCUUUAUCGCUGCCGUGUCAAGUUUCUCCUUUUUCCAUUUAUAUUUACACGUAUUCAAUGUGGUCUGUGUUGCAGCGAUUUACAUGGUCGUUAAAAAACGCUUACAUCGUCGUGAGGCUGUUGGACGAGGCACGAGUCGAACACAAAGAUCGAAAGGCAGUGAAAAAGAGAGAAAGAAGAAUCCUAAGGAAAGAGAGCUAAUACGCCGUAAGAAAACGAGACAGGAAAAGUGGGGAAAGAGAGGAAUCACGGCGCGAAAUUUCUACUUUGCGGCUGGUGUACGUGUUACACAGCAGAAGAAGAUGAAAAUGACCAAGGAGAAAGCAUCUUAUCUGUCUCGUGCAUAAAUACAGCAACAUUGUCGUUGUAAAGUGGACACGGAACAUACUUGUUACGUUGCUGGUCCGCGGGCCACCGGCUUCACUCUCACCGCUUCGGUGCUAAGUAAAAUGAUAUAUUGCGGUUAAACGCGGCCCCGCGGAUUCGUGUGCGUGCCUGUAUCACCGGCCAUAUAUACGUACACACGUUACACGUGGCCGUGUUUAAUAUCGAAACGGUGUUGGUGAGUGGGCCACCCACGGUGGCCUUGCUGGACCACCCAACGAGCCGCGCUAUUAUAAGGGGCCGUCUCUACUUCGCACUUUACCUCGAUCCGAUACUUCGUUGCUCCCCUUUAACCCCUUCAACGGCUCUGACACAUUACUCGAGAGCCGGGCGAAUCGAACCGGGACAACGAUUUCUUUUUCCCUCUCUUUCUCUUUUUUCUCUAUCGUCUUCUUCGUUUUUUCCACGGUGCCGCUUGUUAUCCAUUAAUCAGCCGGCUCUUUCGUGAGAUUAGGGGGAUACGUUGUAUCGCUUGUUCGCUCUCUUCGAGUCCUUCAGCGGGCUACGACGCGCUGAAUAGCGUACGAUCUCGUAGACGAACCAAUGUAAUACGAUCUUAGCUGACGUUUCGUCGGACGAAGAGAGGAACGAUAGGCAGGUGUGAGAAACGUUGACGAUCGAUCGGCUACACCAACGUAAUUAUCCGACGGUGAUUAAUAAACGUUGCGUUACUAUCGCCUAUUCGCUACGACCAUCCACACUUUCUUUCGUUCGGCGCUGGCACGUGCAACACACGGCCUUGGCGGCUCCAUGUCUAUACGGGGUGUUCGAAAGAUUCAAUUUGCAGAGUUUAGAGAAAGUGAGGGGGGGGGAGGAGGGUUUACUUUGGUAAAGGGAAAAUUGUUUGCUGAUGGAAUACGACAGCCUGAGUUAUCUUUCGUUCUUUUCUCUUUUUCUUACAGUCGACGUUACGCGAUUUUCGUAUUGUACGAUGAAUUUUGUAAUUUGCGAAACAAAGCGUACUUUACGUUGAGUUUAUAAUUUUUGUACACGUUAAAGAUUACAAGUUGACGUUCAGUUCUUACGAGAAAUACUGCUGAGUCUUAAGAGUCUUAAGAGAAUUUUUCAUUGUGGCUGUAUGUUAGUAUGAAAGUGAAGAAAUAAAAAGAGUACACUAGCAGGGGAAUGGAUAUAUUCGAGUAGGAUUUUUUAUUUCUGUUUAUCUUCCGCCUUUUGCGAUCACUUCCAUCUAUUAAAGUUAGAGAAAUUUACCAAAUGUCCAGCUGGACAAAUUGUGAAACAGAAAUUAAAAAUAAAAAGAAGAAACUUCCAUCUACGUUACAAGGUAGG